AUGGCUACAGGGAGCAGUAGUAGCACUAAGGGGUAUGGGGAAGAGGUUGAGGAAUUGCUCAAUCGACUCGAUCUGCAUGAAGACGAUGGAGAUGACUUCGUCUGGGAAGAGGUGCCAGAAUUGCAAGGAGUUCAGGCGAAGUGGCUGGCUAUCGCGAAGGUGCACACAAAUAAGGGAUUUAGCCCUUCGGCCCUAUAUUCCGACAUGAGAUCUGCCUGGAAUCCAGCGAAGGCUGUUCGCUGGCGCUUGAUUGAUAGCAAUCUGUUCACUGUGCAAUUCGGUUGUUUGGGUGACUGGAAUACUGCAAUGAUGAAUGGACCUUGGUUAUUCAGGAACCAAGCUGUUAUGAUGAUGGAAUAUGACGGGUUUACAAAUCCUGGAUCGAUAGUCUUGGACAAAGUGGCGGUUUGGGCGAGAAUUCUAAGGUUGCCUCACAACUACCUGAAUGAGGUCGUGAUAAAAGGAAUGUGCAGGAAGAUAGGGCAAAUUCUAGAAGUGCAGACCCAGUUGCCAGCAGGCUAUGUGGGUGCUUUUGUCAGGGUUAAAGUGAACUUGGAUGUGGAAAAAAAAGCUAGAGUGCUUUGUGUCAAUCACAAAAGGAGGAACAAAGGACUGGUAUCAGGUCAAGUAUGA
rnacentral:rRNA from 1 species